rnacentral:rRNA from 1 species
AUGUAUGAUGGCUCAGAAGCGGCAUGCUAUGAUCAGCUACGUUUAACCAAAAGAAACUUUCAUGAUUUUUGCACCAUGUUGUGUGAGAGGUGUGGUCUAAGCAGUAGUGUGUAUGUGACCGUGGAAGAAAAGGUUGCCAUGUUCUUGCUAGUAGCGGGUCACGGUCUGAAAAUGAAGUUGCUUCGAGGCACAUACAAGCGGUCGUUGGGAACUAUAAGCACUCACUUUUCCGCAAUCUUAAGAGCCAUUCUAUCUAUGCAUGGGGAGUUCAUUAAGCUUCCAGAUGCUAAUGUUCAAUCUCCCAAUGAUUACAAAUGGAAGUGGUUUGGUGAUGCACUUGGAGCACUAGAUGGUUGUCAUGUAGAUGUUUCAGUUCCUGUGGCUGCCCAAGGGAGGUACAGGAAUAGAAAGCAAGCUGUCACUACUAACAUGCUUGGUGUGGUCGACUCGAACAUGAAAUUUUUGUAUGUCUUACCUCGCGGGAGGGUUCCGCUUCUGACUCAAGAGUCCUCCGUGACUCCAUGA